rnacentral:rRNA from 2 species
GGGGUGCGGUUAUCGGCAUAUUGGGCGUAAGCGAGCGCAGGCGGUUUUUUAAGUCUGAUGUGAAAGCCCUCGGCUUAACCGAGGAAGCGCAUCGGAAACUGGGAAACUUGAGUGCAGAAGAGGACAGUGGAACUCCAUGUGUAGCGGUGAAAUGCGUAGAUAUAUGGAAGAACACCAGUGGCGAAGGCGGCUGUCUGGUCUGUAACUGACGCUGAGGCUCGAAAGCAUGGGUAGCGAACAGGAUUAGAUACCCUGGUAGUCCAUGCCGUAAACGAUGAAUGCUAGGUGUUGGAGGGUUUCCGCCCUUCAGUGCCGCAGCUAACGCAUUAAGCAUUCCGCCUGGGGAGUACGACCGCAAGGUUGAAACUCAAAGGAAUUGACGGGGGCCCGCACAAGCGGUGGAGCAUGUGGUUUAAUUCGAAGCAACGCGAAGAACCUUACCAGGUCUUGACAUCUUUUGAUCACCUGAGAGAUCAGGUUUCCCCUUCGGGGGCAAAAUGACAGGUGGUGCAUGGUUGUCGUCAGCUCGUGUCGUGAGAUGUUGGGUUAAGUCCCGCAACGAGCGCAACCCUUAUGACUAGUUGCCAGCAUUUAGUUGGGCACUCUAGUAAGACUGCCGGUGACAAACCGGAGGAAGGUGGGGAUGACGUCAAAUCAUCAUGCCCCUUAUGACCUGGGCUACACACGUGCUACAAUGGAUGGUACAACGAGUUGCGAGACCGCGAGGUCAAGCUAAUCUCUUAAAGCCAUUCUCAGUUCGGACUGUAGGCUGCAACUCGCCUACACGAAGUCGGAAUCGCUAGUAAUCGCGGAUCAGCACGCCGCGGUGAAUACGUUCCCGGGCCUUGUACACACCGCCCGUCACACCAUGAGAGUUUGUAACACCCGAAGCCGGUGGCGUAACCCUUUUAGGGAGCGAGCCGUCUAAGGUGGGACAAAUGAUUAGGGUGAAUCGUACAGAGGGGAGACACCUAUAAAAAACGGAAUUGUGGGGGGGGUUUUUCUGGG